rnacentral:rRNA from 1 species
AAAGAAGCGAAUGGGGGAAGAAGAAUCCGUCAGCGGCGUAGGCUAACGGUGGCUACGUGAUGUUCGCGGGAGUAACGGUUAUCGUGGUACGCGGUCAUCGCGUUACGUCCGGCGUCGUCGGCGUGCACUACUCUCUAGUAGGACGUCGCGACCCGUUGGGUGUCGAUCUACGGCCCGGGUGGGCGUCUGUCGUGUCGUUUCGGCGCACGCGACAAACCCCCGGUCGCCAGAGUCGGCUGCUCGGCGGUACUCGCAUGGUAUCGGGCCGCAAUUUUCGAACUGCGUCGGGCCCGUCGCAAGCGCGGUCACUGUGUCGCGGAGGAACGGACCUAGCGCCGUCCCCGUGCCUGGCCAGCUGUUGGCAGACGGUGUCCUCUGACUGGCCAAAAAACCCCUUAGAAAGUGUGAUACCGGUCGGCGACGCUACUGCUUUGGGUAAUCUCAGGACCCGUCUUGAAACACGGACCAAGGAGUCUAACAUGUGCGCGAGUCAUUGGGACCGCAUGCCUAAAGGCCGAAUGAAAGUGAAGGUCGGCGCGAUUCGCAACGGCCGAGGGAGGAUGGGCCGCGUUACGAUGCGGCUCCGCACUCCCGGGGCGUCUCGUUCUCAUUGCGAGAAGAGGCGCACCCAGAGCGUACACGUUGGGACCCGAAAGGGG